UACAGAGGUCUCAAGCGUUUGUUCGGAUUCAUUGGGCGUAAAGGGUGCGUAGGCGGCGCGGUAAGUCGGGUGUGAAAUCUCGGAGCUUAACUCCGAAACUGCAUUCGAUACUGCCGUGCUUGAGGACUGGAGAGGAGACUGGAAUUUACGGUGUAGCGGUGAAAUGCGCAGAUAUCGGGAGGAACACCUAUGGCGAAGGCAGCUCGCUGGGACGUUACUGACGGCUGGAGACGCGAAAGCGUGGGGAGCAAACAGG
rnacentral:rRNA from 1 species